AGAGUUAAAUAGUACGUGAAAUUGUUGAAAGGGAAACGAUUGAAGUCAGUCAUGCCGGCGGGAAUCAACUUAGGGGAAACUCUGGGUGCACUUCUUCGUUUGGCAGGUUAGCGUCGAUUUUGGGUAUCAUAAAAUGAUUGGGGGAAGGUAGCUCCUUCGGGAGUGUUAUAGCCCUUGGUAGAUGUGAUGUCUGGGAUCGAGGAUUGCAACGGAUACCCUUCGGGGCUAGUCGCCUGAUCUCUAAUUGGUGUUGGGUUACGGAUAGCAUGCUAACCGUGAUCUAAUUACUGGUUAAAAGGUUAGAGCGUUCAUAAAUUCGUUAAGGACGCUGACGUAAUGGCUUUAAACGA
rnacentral:misc_RNA from 1 species